UACGUAGGGUGCAAGCGUUAAUCGGAAUUACUGGGCGUAAAGCGUGCGCAGGCGGUUGUGCAAGACCGAUGUGAAAUCCCCGGGCUUAACCUGGGAAUGGCAUUGGUGACUGCACGGCUAGAGUGUGUCAGAGGGGGGUAGGAUUCCACGUGUAGCAGUGAAAUGCGUAGAGAUGUGGAGGAAUACCGAUGGCGAAGGCAGCCCCCUGGGAUAACACUGACGCUCAUGCACGAAAGCGUGGGGAGCAAACAGG
rnacentral:rRNA from 1 species